GAAGUGGCUCAGGCUCCACGCCCAGCGCUAUAGUCUUGGCAGAGUGUGGGGCUGUCACAGGGUCUCUAGGGCCCAGUGGCGGCGGCCCCGGGGAGGGGCGCGGUCCACGGCGGCCUUCCGCGGCCUUAGGACCCGGGUAGGCCGCUGAGCACGGCGUGCGGUGGGCGCGGGGUAACGGGAACCUCGAGUCCCGCACUGAUCGGAGCCGACUCGGCGCUGGAGGGAUCGGCGGGAAAUGGCGGACGAGGCGUUGUUUUUGCUUCUCCAUAACGAGAUGGUGUCCGGAGUGUACAAGUCCGCCGAGCAGGGGGAAGUGGUGAGUGCCGCCACGCACCCUGGGGUCCUGCGGUGACACUUGCCUCCAUUCCUCUCCCGCCCUGCUGACGUAGACGCCCGGUAGCUUAGACCGAGCUGGUCCACCUAGAGGCAUCCCACAGAAUAUAAUCUGUCUGUCGGCUGCCUCCUCCGAGAUGGGAUCUCUCAUCCAUCUCCUUUUUUGUCUUCUGUGUGGUGUGUUCGUGCCCGUAUGUUCCUUUGAGUGCGUGCUACAGGACUUUAUUCUUGACCUUGAUAAGAUUUACCUAGAGUCUAACUGCAGAGCUGAUUGUGACUUUCCUGCUUAAUUUUCCAACAGUUUUAGAGGCCAGCUAGCCACUGUCCCAGCGAGACUAUACCUUUCUCAUCUCUUGAUUCAGGAUACCACUGCACACAACUCCAAGGCCACAGCCUGAUGAACCGUGGAGUUAAAGCAAGGAAACUUUGCGAGAUUUUCAGCAGUAAUUAUGAAACCACUUAAAUUAAUUACUUAAAAAUACUUAAGUGUUCAUUAUGUCAGAACUGGUUUUAGGAGUUUGGUGUUAAUGUUGAGUGCCACAGUAAGUAACCCCAUCCUUUUGGAGGUUACAUCGAGUGUGAGAGUUCUUAGUCUCUCGCGAUUCUUCUGGAAAACAGUAAGCAUGCCUAGUGCUUUACAUCUGCUUUCUGUAUAUGGGUAUUUUGCCAGCAUGUCUAUCUGUGCAUCCUGCAUGCCAAAUGCCAACAGAGGCCAGAGGAGGGCUUCAUAGUUAGUCCCUGGAACUGGAAGUACAGAGAGUUGUGAGCUGCCAUUGUGGGCACUGGGAGUUGAACCCAGGUCUUCAGGAAGAGCAGCCAGUACUUGUAAUUGCUGAGCCAUCUCUUCAGCCUGCUUAAAUUCUAUUCCAAAUUACACCCAUCUACAAUAGAACCCUUCCCCCACUCCCCGUUACAGCAUCUUCACUGUGUUAUCAUUGGUAGUUGCCUAAAGCUGCCUUUAACAUUUAGUCUCUCCCCAACACAAAACAACUAGUAAUAUAUUCCUUCAUCUUUUAUCAUGAAAUCUCAGCCAUUAUUUUAAUCUUCCUACCUUUUAUUGACUUCUUUUUAAAACAGUUUACUUAUUUUAUUUAUGAGUAUAUAAAUAUAGCUGUCUCAGACACACCAGUAGAGGGCAUCUGAUCCCAUUACAAAUGGUUGUGAGCCACCAUGUGGUUGCUGGGAAUUGAACUCAGGACCACUGAAAGAGCAGUCAGUGCUCUUAACUGCUAAGCCAUCUCUCCAGGCCCCUUUUAUUGACUUUUAAGUGGGUUAGCCCAAAAUAAGGUUCUACCCACAACAAAUCCUUUUAAAAAUUAAGAAAAAGAAAAUACCCAAAGGUUGUGAAUGGCUUACCUAUUGAAAUGUAUUUCUAGUUGGGAGGGGAAAACUGAAUAGAGAGCAAAGAUUAUGAUUAUUACUGAGAGAGGGUUUCAUCCUGUAUGCCUGGCUGGCUUUAACUCCUUAUGUUGGCCAGGCUCACCUUGAUCUCACAGAGAUCUGCCUGUCUCAGGAGUGCUGGGAUUAAAGGCGAGCACCACCAUAACACCUGGAAUUAGAAAGAAACUUAAAGUUACCUUCUGAGGUGACUUUCCUAUUCCAGUGGUCUCUGUGACUUCCACUGCAGCAUUCCAUGGCCGGACCCAGAGGUGCUGACGGUGAUGGUGCAGCUCAUCACCCUCAUCUUCAGAGAUCUCCAAGGAGACCUGAGACUCAGGCUCGGCUGUAUGAGCAAGUAUGCAGAUAGAGCAGACAGCAUGCUGUUAUUGCCUUUGAUGAAUACAUGGAACUCCAUCAGAUGAUGCGGAAAACAUUCUCAGAGUGAAAAACACAGCAAGGUCUCAUCAUACUCAAAAUAUCCAUCUGCUACAAAGUGUUUCCAGGUAGAAAUGGUCAAGGAAACCAGUGGGUGAGAAGGCGAUACAGUGUUUUUAAAGGCAUCUUAUCUAUUGGGGGCACAGUCAGAAACACCUGUUUCUACAUACUGUUUUGGUCCUUAUAUUAUUAUCAGGUGACAGUAAAUUCUGUGAUUCUGUUUUUGUUACCUUUUCUUUAACUUAAAACAAACCUUUAAAAAAAUGUUAUUUUGGGGCUGGAGGGAUGUUUUGUUCCUGGUCCUUGAGCAGGGCAGAAAGGUGGAGGUGAAAGAACUUGUCAGUUGUCUACUUCUGUCACUUGAGUUCCAGGGAUCAAGGGCAGGUUUUAGUCUCGGUAACAAAGAAUUCAGCACCUUUAUCCAGUGAGCCAUCUCACUGACUUUUUUCUUCUUCUAAUUAAAGUUGUUUUUUUUUUAAUAUGCAUGGAUGUUUAACUUGUGUGUGUGUAUGCAUGUGUGUGUGUUUGUAUGUCUAUGCAUCAUAUCUAUGCCUGAGGAGGCUAGAAGAAGGCAUCAGAUCCCCCAGAACUGAAAUCACGGAUGAUGGUGAGUUGCCAUGUCGGUGCUAGGGAUUGAACCCAGAUCCUCUGGAAGAGCAGCCAGAGCUCUUAAAGGCUGACUCAUGUGUCUUAGUUCCCUGCUGUUGUUUUAAGCUUGGGGUAGAUAUAUGAGAAAAACACCUUGAUGGGCAAGCUGUGUCAGCUGCUGCCAGGAGAAGGGAACUGAAAAAACGAGAAGGGGGGGAAGGGAAGGGAGAGGAAAGAAAGAGGGCAGGGGCUUCAGAAAAUCGUGAAAAAGCCCAGAGUACCUGGGAAAGCCAGUAACUAAGAAAUAGAUAAGUAAAAGAGGGCUGGUGAGAUGGCUCAGAGGUUAAGAGCACCGACUGCUCUUCCAAAGGUCCUGAGUUCAAACCCCAGCAACCACAUGGUGGCUCACAACCAUCCGUAACAAAAAAUCUGAUGCCCUUUUCUGGAGUGUCUGAAAACAGCUACAGUGUACGCACAUAUAAUAAAUAAAUAAAUAAAUAAUCUUU
rnacentral:lncRNA from 1 species